CGGCCAUUUUGGGGCGGCCAUUUUGGAUUGGAGGUCCUGCGUUACAGUGGCAACUUUUGACCAUAGAGUUUUGGCUAGAGCGCCCAUUUUGGGGCGGCCAGUUUGGAUUGGAGGUCCUAUGGUAGAGUGGCAACUUUUGACCAUAGAGUUUUGGCUAGAGCGGCCAUUUGGGGGUGGCCAUUUUGGAUUGGAGGUCCUAUGGUAGAGUGGUGACUUUUGACCAUAGAGUUUUGGCUAGAGCGGCCAUUUUGAGGUGGCCAUUUUGGAUUGGAGGUCCUGAGCUAUAGUGACAACUUUUGACCAUAGAGUUUCGGCUAGAGCGGCCAUUUUGGGGCGGCCAUUUUGGAUUGGAGGUCCUAUGUUACAGUGGUGACUUUUGACCAUAGAGUUUUGGCUAGAGCGCCCAUUUUGAGGCGGCCAUUUUGGAUUGCAGGCACAACAGGAUUAUUGAUG